AAAAACAAAUGUCACCCUGUUAAUAGGGAUAUUAUAAACCAACAUCUUAAAAUAAAAGCAAAAGUCUUUCAUAAUUAAAGAGUUUACUGUUUUAUAUAAUAAAACUAUUGAAAUGAUGUGUUCUUUGUAUUCUGAUAAAAGAGAACUUUGCUUCAAACCUAAAAUCUUAAAUGCCCAUUGGAUAGUUUUAUGCGAACACUUCUAUUCUUAAUUUGACUGUGUAUAAAUAAUAUAAUAAUAUGUAAUUAAUUUUAUAAUGACAUAUAAUAAUGAAAAAUAAAAAUUAACUAUUUCAUAGUUUUUGGAAUAAAUUUGAAACUGUUACUUAAUAUGUAAAAGGACCUCGUCGGAUAUGUCUAAGAAAAUAUUGGGAUAAAUGUGAAAAAUGUAGGUUGUCAAAUGUUAACAAACUAUAUUUAACUAAACUUUGUAAGAUAUAUGUGAUAACUUAAUUAAUAUUAGUGUUUUAAAAUGCACAAGGUCCUAUUAUAAAACGUAUUUUAAAAAUUAUGGAUAUGCAUUAAGCAUGCAUAAAUAAAUCAUAAAUAUAGGAUUUGAUUGCCCAGUUGGAAAUGCACACUAAUAUGACGUCAGAUCGUAGUGGUGGAGGAGGCGGUUCCUGGAGACUACCACCGGAUGAAACUCUGCAGGUGCAAGACCCAAAACAAAAAGAUAAUGAUUUCGAUUUUGAUGAAGGUCACAAUUGGCGAAGUAUAAUCUUAUCAUUGCUUGUAAUAAGCUUUGUUGUAGCUGGAAUCGUAACUGCAAUAUAUUUAUUAGGAUAUGUUGACGAACUUCUCUAUUGGUCGGGUCGCAGAAUGAUAUUAGACGAAUACUUGCAAGGAGAUUUAACACCUAGAAGGUUACCUUCUUCUUGGGUAACAACUCAGAAGUAUGUUUUUCAAUCAGAUGAUGGAAGUCUAGCAGUCUUGGAUACAACCACAAACUUAGUAAAAGUAUUGGUAACUAAUCACACUCUUCGUCAACUAAAUGUUCGAAGAUAUUUAUGCUCCAACGAUCUAAAAUAUGUUUUAUUCACGCAUAAUGUAAAAAAAAAUUUUCAGAAGUCAUUUACGGCAUUUUAUACAAUUUAUGAUGUAAACAAUGAUCAUCACACGCCAGUAAAAUUAAAAGACACAUUGAAGGUACAAAGAACUCGUCUUCAGUAUGCAUCUUGGCUUGGCAAUACGACUGCAAUAAUAUUUGUAGUGAAAAAUGAUAUUUUUAUUCGACAAUCGCCAUUAGUGGAGGAAGAUAUAAGAAUAACCUCUUCUGGACAUGAAAACCACAUAUAUAAUGGUGUUCCUGAUUGGCUUUACCAAGAAGAAAUUUUUGAAGCUCCAGAGGCGAUUUGGACUUCGUCUGAUGGAACACAUUUUAUGUACGCACUAUUUAAUGACACCAAUGUUGGAAUGAUGACAUACCCGUGGUUAUCGUCUGGAGCUUUAUUCUCUGGAAGUGGGAUGUUUUCUGGAAGUAUUUUUCCCGAAACAAAAAUGGUUAGAUUUCCAACUCCAGGAACCACUAAUCCCGAAGUGGAGUUGUGGGCUGUUGACAUAACUAAUCUGAGCGACAUUCAAAAAUUUAAUAUUAAACCUCCUGCCACUAUUUAUGGACAAGACUAUUACCUCACAUCAGCAGGUUGGAUAUCUGAUAGCAAUUGUCAAGUAUCGGUAGUGUAUAUGGGAAGAUCUCAAAAUUACAGUGUUAUUUCAUUGUGUUCUAAAGUAGAAGACUGGAAAUGCUUGGAAGUUCACUCUGAACGUGCACCAGAAGAUGAAUGGUUGGAUAUCUUUCCCCACCCAGUAUUUUCUUCAGACGGUAGCAGUUUCUUAUUUUUGGCGAAUAUUCAGGAGUCAGAAAACUACCAAUUUACACAUAUUAAACAUGUAAUGAUAUCACAGCGAAGAAUUUCUGUUAUUUCUCAUGGGCGAUAUGAAAUGAUUUCAGAUGUGACAAUAUUAAUUCGAUUAAUUACCUUAAUGACAAAGGUGACCAAAAUUUUGUGUUGGGAUACAAUAAACCACAAGGUAUAUUUUAUGGCUACGCAAGAUAAAAAGCCUGGACAGCGGCACUUGUAUUCAGUUCAAGAUCCAAUACAUGAUGAUAUAAGAAAAGUUGAACCACAGUGCAUAACAUGUGAUUUGGGUGAUGAUCUUUGGAGUAGUCGAUACUAUUAUACAAACUGCACACAUUUUGAAGCCUUUAUAACACCAUCAUUAGGUGUUGCCACUAACUAUGGAAUUGAGUUUUACAUUUUGGAAUGCCAAGGUCCAGGACUACCUGUAUCUGGAGUACAUAUGCAGACCACUCAUAGUUUAGUUAAAAUUUUGUAUGAUACAAGGCCAUUUUAUACAGAAAGGCUACAGAAGCUAGCUUUACCAACCCAGCGAUCUUUCGAAGUGCCAUUACCGCAUGGAGGUCGAGCUCAAGUUCAAUUACUACUUCCACCCAGCUGGAGAGAGGAGUUACGGGAUGCUGCUUUUCCAGUUAUUGUUGAAGUCAAUGGACGCCCCGGUUCAGAAUCAGUUUCUGAAAAGUUUAAAAUCGACUGGGGUACAUACAUGUCAUCAAGAAAUGAUGUUGUGUAUAUCCGCCUAGAUGUACGAGGGUCCAAGGGUCAAAGUAAAAAAACACUAUAUCGUCAUUUAGGAGGAGUAGAAGUUUUAGAUCAAAUUUCUGUUAUAGGGUAUUUGCUGGACACAAUAGGCUUUUUAGAUGAAACUAGAGUAGGUAUGUGGGGGUGGGGUUAUGGAGGUUAUGUAACCUCAAUGGCUCUCGGUACGCAACAGGACGUAUUUAAAUGUGGAAUCGCAGUGUCUCCUACUGCAGACUGGCUCUAUUCAAAUUCAGCAUUUACUGAGCGUAUAUUGGGCCUGCCUGCUGAAAAUUUCAAAGGCUAUGUUGAGGCUGAUGCUACCCAAAGGGCCCGUCUAAUAAAGUCCAAUUCAUACUUUUUGAUUCAUGGCCUAGCAGAUACCACAGCUCCCUUCGUCCAUGGAGUGCAAUUAGCGAAAUCUUUGACAAGCGCCAAUAUUCUAUUUCGAUAUCAGACUUAUGCAGAUGAAGGCCAUGACUUAAGUGGUGUACUCGAACAUGUGUAUUCUUCAAUGGAGCAAUAUUUUGCAGAAUGCUUAAGCUUGGAUCCGGAUGAUACAAAACCAGAAGUUGAUAACAGCAUAGUCCCAGCUGAAUAAAAAAUGUUAUUUGAAUAACGUAUUCAGCAUUUACUGAGCGUAUAUUGGGCCUGCCUGCUGAAAAUUUCAAAGGCUAUGUUGAGGCUGAUGCUACCCAAAGGGCCCGUCUAAUAAAGUCCAAUUCAUACUUUUUGAUUCAUGGCCUAGCAGAUACCACAGCUCCCUUCGUCCAUGGAGUGCAAUUAGCGAAAUCUUUGACAAGCGCCAAUAUUCUAUUUCGAUAUCAGACUUAUGCAGAUGAAGGCCAUGACUUAAGUGGUGUACUCGAACAUGUGUAUUCUUCAAUGGAGCAAUAUUUUGCAGAAUGCUUAAGCUUGGAUCCGGAUGAUACAAAACCAGAAGUUGAUAACAGCAUAGUCCCAGCUGAAUAAAAAAUGUUAUUUGAAUAACGUGUAAAUAUUAAAAACUUUUCGCAUUAAAUAUUUUGCUUUGUUUAUUUUGUUCAAAGAUUUAUUGUUAAUGUAUAUAUAAAGUCCAUGAAAUGGUUACAAAAAUCAGAAUACCAUAAAUGAACAUGGGUUUGCCGUGUGUGCUACUUUCUUAAAUUUUAAUGUAUGACUUUAAUUUUAAGUAUAAAAAUUAUGCUAAAUUUUCACACAACUCUUAAGUCCAAUCACUAACUUAAUUGGAUAAAAAUAUUAAGUUUGUUUUUUGAAUUUCUUCUAUAAUAAAAAUAUACUUCCGAUAA